rnacentral:rRNA from 1 species
AUUGCACGCUGGCGGCAGGCCUAACACAUGCAAGUCGAGCGAGCGGCGGACGGGUGAGUAAUGUAUGGGGACUGCCCGAUAGAGGGGGAUAACUACUGGAAACGGUGGCUAAUACCGCAUACUAUCGGAUAACCCAUAUGGGAUUAGCUAGUAGGUGGGGUAAAGGCUCACCUAGGCGACGAUCUCUAGCUGGUCUGAGAGGAUGAUCAGAGACAAUGGAAAUGAGACACGGCCCAGAAUGCUACGGAGGAAGCAGGGGGGAAGAGUGCACAAUGGGCGAAAGCCUGAUGCAGCCAUGCCGCGUGUAUGAAGAAGGCCGUAGGGUUGUAAAGUACUUUCAGCGGGGAGGCGUUACCCGCAGAAGAAGCACCGGCUAACUCCGUGCCAGCAGCCGCGGUAAUUC